rnacentral:rRNA from 1 species
UACGGAGGGUGCGAGCGUUGUCCGGAAUCACUGGGCGUAAAGGGCGCGUAGGUGGCCGAGCAAGGUUGCGGUGAAAGCCCGGGGCUCAACCCCGGGUCGGCCGUGGCAACUACUCGGCUUGAGCACUGUAGGGGCGGGUGGAAUUCCGGGUGUAGCGGUGGAAUGCGUAGAGAUCCGGAAGAACACCGGUGGCGAAGGCGGCCUGCUGGGCAGUUUGGCUGACACUGAGGCGCGACAGCGUGGGGAGCAAACAGG